rnacentral:tRNA from 1 species
GGCCCCGUAGGUCAAAGGAUAGACCGGCAGCGUCCUAAGCUGCGCGUUGGGGGUUCGAGUCCCUCCGGGGUCACCA